GUGUCAGCCGCCGCGGUAAUACGGGGGGAGCAAGCGUUGUUCGGAAUCACUGGGCGUAAAGGGCGUGUAGGCGGUUCGGUAAGUGGGAUGUGAAAUGCCCCGGCUCACCCGGGGACCUGCAUCCCAAACUGCUGAGCUUGAGUACAGGAGAGGGUGGGGGAAUUCCAGGUGUAGCGGUGAAAUGCGUAGAUAUCUGGAGGAACACCGGUGGCGAAGGCGCCCACCUGGCCUGCUACUGACGCUGAGGCGCGAAAGCUAGGGGAGCAAACGGGAUUAGAUACCCCGGUAGUCCUAGCCGUAAACGGUGAUCACUAGGUGUUGGGAGCAUCGACCCUUCCAGUGCCGCAGCUAACGCAUUAAGUGAUCCGCCUGGGGAGUACGGCCGCAAGGUUGAA
rnacentral:rRNA from 1 species